rnacentral:lncRNA from 1 species
UGAGCUUCAAGAAAAUUACUUGUUUGGUGUUGGAGAGAGGCACAGCAACUGUGAUACGAGAACCAGUGGCAGCUGCAACAAGAGUAGGAAGAAGAGAAUCGCUGGCUGAUUCAACAAAUAAGAGAUAAGACAACGUCGGUGUAGAUACCAUGGGUGAGGAAGAGAUAACCACCGGGUCAGGAGCAACAAUACUGGUGGGGGCUGUGUUGUUGUGAUUGUGUGUUGGAUCCAUAAGAAAAGAAAAGGUGUUUAGAUGUGUACUUCUGAUAUAAAAUUGAGAAUAAUAAGAAGUUUAAACAAUAUAUUAGUCAUGUAGGGAAUUCCGACCGGUGAUGUUCUGAAAUUUGCUCAUUGGAGGCUAAGCAUGCUGAAACAAUAUUUAACGUGGUUCGGCAAACUGCCU